rnacentral:rRNA from 1 species
UGCGAUAAGCGUCGGUAAGGUGAUAUGAACCGUUAUAACCGGCGAUUUCCGAAUGGGGAAACCCAGUGUGUUUCGACACACUAUCAUUAACUGAAUCCAUAGGUUAAUGAGGCGAACCGGGGGAACUGAAACAUCUAAGUACCCCGAGGAAAAGAAAUCAACCGAGAUUCCCCCAGUAGCGGCGAGCGAACGGGGAGGAGCCCAGAGCCUGAAUCAGUGUGUGUGUUAGUGGAAGCGUCUGGAAAGGCGCGCGAUACAGGGUGACAGCCCCGUACACAAAAAUGCACAUACUGUGAGCUCGAUGAGUAGGGCGGGACACGUGGUAUCCUGUCUGAAUAUGGGGGGACCAUCCUCCAAGGCUAAAUACUCCUGACUGACCGAUAGUGAACCAGUACCGUGAGGGAAAGGCGAAAAGAACCCCGGCGAGGGGAGUGAAAAAGAACCUGAAACCGUGUACGUACAAGCAGUGGGAGCCUC